GCCUCCGCAGGGCGCGGCAAGAUGGAGGUGACGGGGGUGUCGGCACCCACGGUGACCGUUUUCAUCAGCAGCUCCCUCAACACCUUCCGCUCCGAGAAGCGAUACAGCCGCAGCCUCACCAUCGCUGAGUUCAAGUGUAAACUGGAGUUGCUGGUGGGCAGCCCUGCUUCCUGCAUGGAACUGGAGCUGUAUGGAGUUGACGACAAGUUCUACAGCAAGCUGGAUCAAGAGGAUGCGCUGCUGGGCUCCUACCCUGUAGAUGACGGCUGCCGCAUCCACGUCAUUGACCACAGUGGCGCCCGCCUUGGUGAGUAUGAGGACGUGUCCCGGGUGGAGAAGUACACGAUCUCACAAGAAGCCUACGACCAGAGGCAAGACACGGUCCGCUCUUUCCUGAAGCGCAGCAAGCUCGGCCGGUACAACGAGGAGGAGCGGGCUCAGCAGGAGGCCGAGGCCGCCCAGCGCCUGGCCGAGGAGAAGGCCCAGGCCAGCUCCAUCCCCGUGGGCAGCCGCUGUGAGGUGCGGGCGGCGGGACAAUCCCCUCGCCGGGGCACCGUCAUGUAUGUAGGUGCGUGGCCCGCGGGCCCGGUCCCGGGCUCCAGGGCUCCAAGGCCGGGAGGAAAUGUUGUGGGCACAGUGGAGCCUCGGAGACCACGCUCUGCCUAGGGGCGCGGGGUGGGGGGGGACUCGAAACGAUCUCAGUCCCUGGAGGUGACGGAACCAUCUGCGGACACUGACGGCCCAGAGUGUUUGUGGAGGGAAGCGGGAGGCACAGGCGGAGUGAUCUGUCCAGCGAGGGAGGAAGCAGAAGCCAGAGGCACGCGGCCUGUGCGCUUCGAAGCGUGGGGCAGUGUCAGUCGCAGUAGGGAAACGGGCGGCGUGACCAAGGCAGGAGUGAGGGAACACAGGGGGCUGUGUGAGCCCAGAGGAAGCACCUGGAGGCUGGGAGCAUCUGAAGGAAAGGAGGCAGCAGCCAGGUGAAAAGGGAGGAAGAGUUCCCGCCAGAAGGAGUAGCGGGUGCAGGUCUCACAGAUUUCAAACCUGGCUACUGGAUUGGUGUCCGCUAUGAUGAGCCACUGGGGAAAAAUGAUGGCAGUGUGAAUGGGAAACGCUACUUCGAAUGCCAGGCCAAGUAUGGCGCCUUUGUCAAGCCAGCAGUCGUGACGGUGGGGGACUUCCCGGAGGAGGACUACGGGUUGGACGAGAUAUGACACCUAAGGAAUUCCCCUGCUUCAGCUCCUAGCUCAGCCACUGACUGCCCCUCCUGUGUGUGCCCAUGGCCCUUUUCUCCUGACCCCAUUUUAAUUUUAUUCAUUUUUUCCUUUGUCAUUGAUUUUUGAGACUCAUGCAUUAAAUUCACUAGAAACCCAGAAA